GGAGGUGGGUCGUGGCCUCUAAAGCACAUGGUCUCUCCUUCUCCUACAUGCUAGUUGCAGCAGUAGAGCUUUCUUCUGUCAGUCUGCGUGCCAAGAGAUGAACGAAAGUCUUACUGGUUUGGAACGACAUGAGGGAAAAAAGAGAGAUAGCAAAAACCUCAGACUGCCUGAUAUCCUCACUGAGAUCCGGACACCCCUGACCCUGGCUCUAUUUUCUCUAGGCAUGUGAGCAUGCGUGUAAUUUUCACCCUGCUGUCCUAGACGAAACUGCCCCUCUGGAGUCUGGGAUAAUGGUGAUCAGUCUUUCCUCCGGUUGCACUGCGGGCAGCCCUUCCAGCACUGAUAGUGAAAGAAAGAGCGGCUCGUGCGCAUGUGGAGAGAACCUCGACCCCCCACCUAAAUGAACAAAUACAGCCACAGGCAGAAAGACAUUAAUCCAUAAAUGCAGACAUGUAUCGAAAUGAGUGAUGUAUUGCAGGUUAUUGCAUCUAUAGUGAUUAUAUGGCAGGAACGGGGUGUAAAAUGGUCUGUACGAUUAUGCAUUAUGAAAAGAGAAGAGUACCCUCUGGUUGUGUCCGUGUCGUUGCACUUGGUCAACUGACAAAACUCAGUCCGUCAGUGUGGAUGUGAGAGCACAGAACAGCAUGGAUCAAUUUCUGUUCUUGUUCAAAUGUGUCCCUAAAUGCCACCAGUAGUUACGGCAGAGGACCACAUACGUUGCGCCUAAUCCAUUCCAUGAUUUAUCGGCAUAUGCAGGCUAUUAAUGUUCUCUGUGGAGAACGCUGCAGAGACACCCAGACUCUGGCUGUUCUGGUGGUUGGAGCAAAUCUGUUUAGGAUUAUAGAAAUACUGGUGCGGGAGACAUCGAACCGUCCAAAAUCCCAGCAAUGGUAGAGAAACCCCAAACAGCUGUUUGCAGGAUUUGUUGACAUUUCUCUGCUUUGCAUAUUCGCUGCUUGUUCCAGUCGGUGACUUUAUACGCUUCGUGAUGUUGUUUGCUGCUGUUUGGGAUUUGAGUGUAGUUUCUUCAGAGAAGUCCAUGUUUGUUUUUUUAACACCAUCGAAAAUGUAUCAAUUGAU